rnacentral:misc_RNA from 1 species
GAUGAAGAACGUAGCGAAAUGCAAUAAGUAAUGUGAAUUGCAGAAUUCAGUGAAUCAUCGAAUCUUUGAACGCACAUUGCGCCCGUCAGUAUUCUGGCGGGCAUGCCUGUUCGAGCGUCAUUACGCCCCUCAAGUCCCCUGUGGACUUGGUGUUGGGGAUCGGCGAGGCUGGUUUUCCAGCACAGCCGUCCCUUAAAUUAAUUGGCGGUCUCGCCGUGGCCCUCCUCUGCGCAGUAGUAAAACACUCGCAACAGGAGCCCGGCGCGGUCCACUGCCGUAAAACCCCCCAACUUUUUAUAGUUGACCUCGAAUCAGGUAGGACUACCCGCUGAACUUAAGCAUAUCAAUAAGCGGAGGA